GCCCUGUUGGCGUAGUGGUAGCGCGUCGCACUUGUACAUUAUGUAACAUGCGAAGGUCAUUCGUUCAAUCCGGGUACAGGGCA